rnacentral:rRNA from 1 species
UAGGGAAUCUUCGGCAAUGGGGGGAACCCUGACCGAGCAACGCCGCGUGAGUGAAGAAGGUUUUCGGAUCGUAAAGCUCUGUUGUUAAGGAAGAACGAGUGUGAGAAUGGAAAGUUCAUACUGUGACGGUACUUAACCAGAAAGGGACGGCUAACUACGUGCCAGCAGCCGCGGUAAUACGUAGGUCCCGAGCGUUGUCCGGAUUUAUUGGGCGUAAAGCGAGCGCAGGCGGUUAGAUAAGUCUGAAGUCAAAGGCAGUGGCUCAACCAUUGUAGGCUUUGGAAACUGUUUAACUUGAGUGCAGAAGGGGAGAGUGGAAUUCCAUGUGUAGCGGUGAAAUGCGUAGAUAUAUGGAGGAACACCGGUGGCGAAAGCGGCUCUCUGGUCUGUAACUGACGCUGAGGCUCGAAAGCGUGGGGAGCGAACAGG